GUCGAACCCCGCUGAAUUUGCGAUUUCAUUUCUUUUUCUCACAUUUUUUUUCUCUACUGCUGAACCCAAUAAUCCCCGCUGAAAAACCAAACUUCUCCUCCUCUUCGUUCACUCCUCCACCUCCUUCAAUCUCUUCAUCAGCAGUUUCAAUCACCACCACCACUCUUCCUCAGCAGAUUCAAUCACCACCACCACCACUCUUCGUCAAAUUAACCACCGGUGAUGGAGAGUGGUGGUUAUGAUAUGGGUCAAUUGAAGAUCUAGUAACUGUUAAUUGAAGUUGAAACGGGUUAGGGUUCGAUCUGUGAUUGAGAGAAGAGAUGAUGAAAGAAAAGAAAUUGAAGAUGGAAUCGACCAUGGAAGAAUGGGUUAUCGCUGUAAAUGGAUUUGAUGGUUGAUUUAUGAAGAUUUGAGGCGGGUAUUGCAGCGACAGGGGAUAAGAGGAAUGGAGCACUGGUGAUGGCUAAAGGGGAUCUGAUGGGUGAUUAUCGAUUAAUGCUGCAGAGAGAACAAUUACAAGGGCAUGGUGGUUGUACUGAGAUUUGUAGGAGCCGAAAUCUGAAGAUGGUGGUGAUUCAAUGUUUGAAAUGGUGGAGAUAGUGAAUGUGUUGCUACUGCUGGUGUAACUAUUUUGUCAAUGUGCUCAUCUUCACCAAAUUUCUUGGCUAUUGGGAUAGUCUAGUUAUGGUUGACGGCGAUGUUUCCACAGAUGAAACCAAAACCUUGUGAUUUGUCAUUAAAUUUAUGUGAAUCGGCGACACUAGCUCAGUUGAUUUUUCCUAUUAUCAUCUUGUGAAGUUUACACCUACUGGUGAUCCUGCUAAAGAUGACGAAAAUGCAGAUUCUCUCUUUUCCUUGCAUGGAUGACAGAUCGCCUGCACCAUUACAUCAGGGAACUCCGAUGUUAAGGAAAAGCAUGGAGGUUGUGAAGAAACGAAGCAGAGGUUUUGAUGACGCCAAGAAUGGAGCUUCAUAGGAAGCGAAAGCCAUGGAGGAAGAGCUCACCAGUUUGAAGGCAAAGUUAAGAAGUUGGAAUCCGAGUGUGAGACAAAGAAAAAGGAUGUUAAAGCAGCAGAAGCAAACGCAGAGGCUUUGAGGAAGCAAUCGGAAGGGUUCCUUCUCGAGUAUGACAGGUUGUUGGAGGAAGACAAUCAAAACCUCAGGGAGCAAUUACAGUCACUGGAUCGUGGUUUGUCACAUUCUGGUUCCAAGAAGAACCGAUAGUGAACCCACUAUUUUCUACAGAACGGGAAAUUUCGGACACACAUGAUAACAAGCUCAAGGGGAUGGAGUUGGUGGUACUGCAAUGGUCUUGGAUGUGUUGGUGCUUCCAUGAAGAUGUUACUGCAACAAGCACCAGGGUAUUAGUGAGCUGCAAAUGGAGUUGAAGUAAUGGCAGUGUUUGGUGCAGUUGAAAUGGCUUGAGGCAAAGUUGGUGUUGUUGUUGCAGGUAUAAGUGAAACUACAGUAAGGAGAUGGUGGUGCUGAUAAAGAUAAGUAUGGUGAUGGAGUUGCAAUACAACUGAAGAUGGGUGAAGGCAGAGUUGUUGCUGGUGUUGUGUGUUCUUGGAUGGAGAAACAGAGGAAACUCUGUCCGGAUUUCUACUCCGGCGAGUUAUCUCACUGAUCCGAUCCAGCUCCUAACUCAGCUGAAUAAUACUCUGACUCGGCUAACUCAUUCUUUACCUUGACCAGUUGACUACCGGUUUGAUUAUCUUGACUGUUAGCUAUGAUGGUACGGUGACGGAAUAUUCCGUCGACAGUUAGAAGAUUCCGGUAAUCAGCAAUAGUUGUUUUGUUUGAACAUCUCUUUGUUUUACAAUUUCUGUAGUAAAUACUUAGGUCGGCACUUCCACCGUGGCAACGAUUGUACUAGUUUAGAAAUAAUUAAUAAUUAAUACUUUUUACUUUAUGUAUUGAUGGAAAUAUGUUAUGAUAGCUUAAUUAAGGAAAUAUUUAUGAUGAAAUGAAAAGUUAAUAAAUCAUUUGUU